GGACGAACGCUGGCGGCGUGCUUAACACAUGCAAGUCGAGCGGUAAGGCCCUUUCGGGGGUACACGAGCGGCGAACGGGUGAGUAACACGUGGGUGACCUGCCCUCAGCUCUGGGAUAAGCCUGGGAAACCGGGUCUAAUACUGGAUAUGACUCCAUGACGCAUGUUGUGGGGUGGAAAGCCCCGUGCGGCUGAGGAUGGGCCCGCGGCCUAUCAGCUUGUUGGUGGGGUGAUGGCCUACCAAGGCGACGACGGGUAGCCGGCCUGAGAGGGCGACCGGCCACACUGGGACUGAGACACGGCCCAGACUCCUACGGGAGGCAGCAGUGGGGAAUCUUGCGCAAUGGGCGAAAGCCUGACGCAGCGACGCCGCGUGAGGG
rnacentral:rRNA from 1 species